rnacentral:misc_RNA from 1 species
UCUGACCUCUCAGCUGUGGAGAAGAUGUCAGUUGAUGCCCAAAAAUACAAUUUUGUUGCUAUGAAGUUUGAUCAUGUGAAGGGUGCUGUUCAUUUUGGUAAUCAAGAUAUUGAAUCUGACCAGCUCAGUGAUCAUCUUGCUAUUUUUACGCAAUCUCUUAACAACGCAAGGAGUCUUAUCCAUCCUGCGCCCAAAAAGAUUUCCAAAG